rnacentral:rRNA from 1 species
CGUAAACAAAGGGAGGCAAAGGAGUAAUCUGGAGCGAACCCCAAAAAUAACGUCUCAGUUCGGACUGUGGUCUGCAACCCGACCACACGAAGCUGGAAUCGCUAGUAAUCGUGAAUCAGAAUGUCACGGUGAAUACGUUCCCGGGUCUUGUACACACCGCCCGUCACACCAUGGGAGUCAGCAACGCCCGAAGUCAGUGACCUAACCGAGAGGGAGGAGCUGCCGAAGGCGGGGCCGGUAACUGGGGUGAAGUCGUAACAAGGUAGC